UUACAGGUGCCUCUAUACGCAAUUUCACUGUUACGACACAGCCUAAUAAGACAACAGAAAACUCCAGUACGGGAGGGAAAAACUCAGCCACAACCAGUUACCCAAAAAUAACUCCAGAUGCCUCUAUACGCAAUUUCACUGUUACGACACAGCCUAAUAAGACAACAGAAAACUCCAGUACGGGAGGGAAAAACUCUUCAGAAAAAGCAGCCACAACCAGUUACCCAAAAAUAACUCCAGAUGCCUCUAUACGCAAUUUCACUGUUACGACACAGCCUAAUAAGACAACAGAAAACUCCAGUACGGGAUGGAAAAACUCUUCAGAAAAAGCAG